AGAGUUUGAUCAUGGCUCAGGACGAACGCUGGCGGCGCGCCUAACACAUGCAAGUCGAGCGGUAAGGCCCCUUCGGGGGUACACGAGCGGCGAACGGGUGAGUAACACGUGAGCAACCUACCCUCAACUUCGGGAUAAGCCUCGGAAACGGGGUCUAAUACCGGAUAUCACUACGGACUUCAUGGUUUGUGGUUGAAAGUUCUGGCGGUUGGGGAUGGGCUCGCGGCCUAUCAGCUUGUUGGUGGGGUAAUGGCCUACCAAGGCGUCGACGGGUAGCCGGCCUGAGAGGGCGACCGGCCACACUGGGACUGAGACACGGCCCAGACUCCUACGGGAGGCAGCAGUGGGGAAUAUUGCGCAAUGGACGAAAGUCUGACGCAGCAACGCCGCGUGAGGGAUGACGGCCUUCGGGUUGUAAACCUCUUUCAGCAGGGACGAAGCGAGAGUGACGGUACCUGCAGAAGAAGGACCGGCCAACUACGUGCCAGCAGCGGCGGUAAUAC
rnacentral:rRNA from 1 species